UCCAAACUGAAGAAUGUUUUUUGAUGAUGCUCACACUUUUAUGGGAAUGGAAACCGGGUUGAAAUCCGAAGCUAAUUGUUUUUACCUGGUACUUUGAAAAUGGAAGAGUGCUUUCGUCAAUAUAAAAAGUUUGGCAUCUCCGAAAUCCGGG